AUGAUUGUAACCACUCUAAGUUCGUCUGCCUUGGGAAAGCUAGUGUGUCUCCGACAUAGUGAUAACACUCAUGUCUUCUCUAGUGCAGCUCAACCAGGUAUCGUCCCAUUUGUCUGUAUUUGUGAUAUCACAAAUCGCGGAAAAUAUGCGUUUGUAGUCCAUACGAGUCAUUCGGUGUGUAACUUUGCAGAUCUUUUUUUAUGCUCAAACAGCAACAUUACAGACUAACUAAAGUUGAAAAAGCAUAAUAGGACCCCUUUUAUAUUAGCUAAUGAAAUUUGAUUGGUGAUUUUUAAGAUUUGGGAUUGGAAAUCUUAAAUCUUAUUGGGAAGCACUUCUUCUAUCAAACGGUUGCUGAGUUAUGUUUUUAGUUGUGUUGCCCCCUAUGGGUGGAUUUUGACACAAUUUGUCGAAUUCUUGGAUUCUUUUGUGUACCAAGUUUAGUUAAAUUUGAUAUCUUUAGAACAAACUGAAGAAUCAAAAUUCUUUCAAUAACCUUUUUUUAUUUUUUGUUUAAAUUAGCUUCUUGGUUAAGGUUGAAUAUUGUAAAUUUUUUGAGUUCAGAUUCUCUCUCCUACCCUUUCUUGAUGGGCAGAGACACAGUCAGCUAUUAGUAGGUGAGUCCACCAAAAGUGUGAACACUGUGAUUCUGUAGAGCUUUGUAAAUGUCACUCUGCCACUAACCCCAUAUAGCAACAUUUGCUCAGCCAAUGGCUUGAGUUUGGGUUAACUGCAUCAUCCCUGAUAAACAAGCGAUCAUGUCAUGGUGGUUGGGUCUGUAUGUGUUUUAACUUAAAACAUGACAAUCAGUUGAACACAUUUAUUCUCUGUCUGAUCUGUCUAGCAUCUUGGCCAUUUCUGAUUAUCUGACUCCCUCCCACCCCAGAUACCUCAUUUUCCCUGAGCCUUAAACAGCUGAGGUUUGUCCAGUUGUUACACCAAAGUCUGUUGUUAGCCUUUAAAUUUUCGCAAAUUUUUAAAUCCUCUCAGAUUUCAUAUAUAUUGAUCUGAAAUUAGUUUAACACUUCAGUCUCUCGCUCCGGGUAAAUAUCUCUCUUAACGGUAAUCAGUGCACUUGAGAGCCAGAAUUGUACAAGAUACCAGGAGAUGUUCGUGAAGUGUAUUUUUCUUACCCUACUGGCAAAUGCUUCUUUUAACAUUUUAAGCCUUGCCUGUAUAGUGAAAUGGAUUUUAUAGAUAUCAAAGCAAAUUACCAAAGAGCAAAGUAAUGUAAAAGUCAGUCAAGAUAAAGUUGCUCCCCUCAAGAAUGGAUCUCAGGAAAAUACACAUCAAAGAGAUGUUUAAUAGUACCUAUGCAGACACAGAAUUUUAUAUAAAAAAAAAAAUAAACAAAUAUAUAUAUUGAGAAAUAGUUAUAAU
ensembl:lncRNA